rnacentral:lncRNA from 1 species
ACUUGGUCGCUGACAAGGUUAUUGUCACCACCAAGCACAAUGACGAUGAGCAGUACGUGUGGGAGUCUCAGGCUGGUGGGUCUUUCACUGUGACCAGAGAUACCACUGGAGAGAGUCUCGGCAGGGGUACUAAGAUGGUCCUUCACCUCAAGGAGGACCAAUUGGAGUACCUUGAGGAGAGGAGGCUCAAGGAUUUGGUCAAGAAGCACUCUGAGUUCAUCAGCUACCCAAUCUCUCUGUGGAUCGAGAAGACUAUUGAGAAGGAGAUUUCUGAUGACGAGGAUGAGGAAGAGAAGAAGGACGAGGAAGGCAAGGUCGAGGAGGUAGAUGAGGAGAAGGAAAAGGAGGAGAAGAAAAAGAAGAAGAUUAAGGAGGUUUCUCACGAGUGGGACUUGGUUAACAAGCAGAAGCCUAUCUGGAUGAGGAAGCCUGAGGAGAUCAACAAGGAGGAAUACGCUGCCUUCUACAAGAGUCUCAGCAACGAUUGGGAAGAGCACUUAGCCGUGAAGCACUUCUCGGUUGAAGGACAGCUCGAGUUCAAGGCUGUUCUCUUUGUUCCCAAGAGAGCUCCUUUUGAUCUCUUUGACACUAAGAAGAAGCCCAACAACAUCAAGCUCUACGUCCGUCGUGUCUUCAUCAUGGACAACUGUGAGGACAUCAUCCCAGAGUACCUUGGCUUUGUCAAAGGUAUUGUCGACUCCGAAGAUCUCCCCCUCAACAUCUCGAGAGAGACGUUGCAGCAGAACAAGAUCCUUAAGGUCAUCCGCAAGAACCUCGUGAAGAAGUGCAUGGAGCUCUUCUUUGAGAUUGCUGAGAACAAGGAGGACUAUAACAAGUUCUACGAAGCUUUCUCUAAGAAUUUGAAGCUUGGUAUCCAUGAGGACUCUCAAAACAGAACCAAGAUCGCUGAGUUGCUCCGUUACCACUCGACCAAGAGCGGUGAUGAGUUGACCAGCCUCAAGGAUUACGUGACAAGGAUGAAGGAAGGUCAGGAGGAUAUCUUCUACAUCACCGGUGAGAGCAAGAAGGCUGUGGAGAAUUCUCCAUUCCUUGAGAGGCUCAAGAAGAAAGGGUAUGAAGUCCUUUACAUGGUUGAUGCCAUCGAUGAGUAUGCCAUUGGCCAGCUCAAGGAAUUCGAGGGAAAGAAGCUCGUCUCUGCAACCAAGGGUCUGAAACUGGAAGAGUCCGAGGACGAGAAGAAGAAAAAGGAGGAGCUAAAGGAAAAGUUUGAGGGACUCUGCAAAGUGAUCAAGGACGUUCUUGGAGACAAGGUCGAGAAGGUCAUUGUCUCUGACCGUGUUGUGGACUCGCCUUGCUGUCUGGUAACAGGUGAGUACGGCUGGACUGCGAACAUGGAGAGAAUCAUGAAAGCGCAGGCCUUGAGAGACAGUAGCAUGGGAGGUUACAUGUCUUCCAAGAAGACAAUGGAGAUCAAUCCGGAGAAUGCGAUCAUGGACGAGCUGAGGAAAAGAGCUGAAGCCGACAAAAAUGACAAGUCGGUGAAAGAUCUUGUUCUCCUCCUCUUUGAGACUGCCCUUCUCACUUCAGGUUUCAGCUUAGACGAGCCCAACACCUUCGGAAGCAGAAUCCACAGGAUGUUGAAGCUGGGAUUGAGCAUUGAUGACGAUGAUGCCGUGGAAGCUGAUGCAGAGAUGCCUCCGCUUGAGGAUGAUGCCGAUGCUGAAGGUAGCAAGAUGGAGGAGGUCGACUAAAAGCCUGCCCUGUUGCUGCAGUGAAUGAUUUUUCUCUACUUAUCUGCUCUUUCUUUGGCUAAAACUAUUAUUUUCGGUGUUUUUUUUUUUCUCAAGUACUAUUAGUGGUGUAGUUUUUUUCUCUGAACUAUAACUAUUGCUGUUAAGAGACUUCGUUUCUUACAAAUCCAGAAAUUGUUAUUUUGUAUCUUGAUCUUUGCUUAAGACAACAUAGUUAAAGUAUGUUCAAGUACCUGGACUGAAGAGUGGAAAAAAUGUAGUUGCUUGUUCCGUCGUUUGGAGCAUCACUCUUUUCCUUUUAAGAGAACAUUAGUCUUCUGUGAUUUGACAGACAAGUUUGAAGACUCGUUAAAAAACUUACAGAUCUCUUUUUGUCGCAACAGUUUCAAGAUUCUUUGCAUUGCUGCUCUCUACAUAGUAGAUUCACUGGCCAUUGUUAUAGUUCUGAGUUUUUUUUUGGGGAGAACCCACAGGUUGAAGCAAACCACGGGGGUAAAAGAUCGAUCAACUUCAAAACUUUACAUAUCAUGUGGACCAGUUGUAUCUACAAAUAAGCCUGGUCAAGAUGCAAAAUCGAAAAGAAUUUUGCCUCACAACAAAGCUCAGCAAUAGAAAGAUAAAUGAGUUCAGAGAAACAAAUGAACUUCACAAGAAAGCUCAACCAGACGAAUGAACAAAAAACCCUAAAGUCUUUGAAGAUUGCUCUUUUAUCUUCAGGUAUCUUCAACCUGAGAAUGGAACACAAAGCUUGGAAACGUAGUCGUGAUAUCCCUGCAAGCACAGACACAACAAUGUCACCACCUUUAUUGAGAAGAAACCAGAGAAGCAAUUCUGUUGUAUAGAUUUCAAUAAGUCCCGGUUACAAAAACAUAAACUCACUUGAGAUAUUGAAGAGUCAUGUUCUUGAGAAGGCUAGGAUGUCUAAGAACAAGGCUUCUCCACUCUUCCUUGUCAAUCUUUCCAUCGUGUUUCGUGUCUGCUUCUUCAAACGUCUAAAACAAAUCAAAACUCAGGGAAAGUUACUCUCAACUAAAGCUAUUGUGCGAAGAUGAGAAAAGCAACUUACCUUGUCAAUUAUAUCCUCAAUGACAGUAUCCUUCAAGUUCAUUCCAGAUUCAGCAAGCGUAGCCACAACCAUUUGUUUCACCUGGACAAAACCUCAAGGUGAGGAUGAUGAUAAAGUGCAGUUUAAUAUGGUUGUUUACGAAGCUAUUUGAAUAUACCUCUUGCCGUUCUAUGAAACCUUGCUGUUUAAGAUCAUAUAGCUGAAAUGAAACUGCAACAACAACAUGUAUAAACACCAUGAGUCUGAAACCAUAUUAAUGGGGAUCUUAUUUUUUCUAAGCUAUAAAAACGUACAGUGGAUUUUGUCAUCUAUAGGUGCAUUUGGAUGGAAUACAGAGAGAGCUCGAGCAAACUCCUCAAACCCAAGUAUUCCAUUGUGCUUUGUGUCAAACAAAUCAAAAACCUACAAACCAAAUGACAUAUGCUUCUUAAGACUUGAUCUUUUGGGGAAAAAAAAAACACUUGUAGUAAAGAAAGAAAUAUUACUCGAUCAGCAAACAAGCUCUCUUUCUUAUUCGUCUUAAACAAAGCCAACUGAAACUCCUCCUGAACCAAAGUUUUAACAAGAGAUGAGUAAACUAGACUGAGAUUGUGUCAACAAAAAAUGAAUUGACCAAAAAUAUUACACAAGCUCUUUACCUUGUUUAUAAGCCCAUCAUCAAUCACAGCACUGCUGAUUUUUUUAAACAGCUCAUAAAGAGCUUCUAUCUCACUCACACUAACUGCACCACAAACCAAGUUCCUUAGAAUCAUAUCAACCGAACUAAAGAAAAAGAAAGAAUAGAGAAGCUGAUAGGCAUACAAACUGUGUCUCUAGAAAGUAAUUCAGGAUCUCCAAGGCCACCACCAGAUUGUUUAAACAAAUUGAGAUCAAAACACCCUAAAACAGAGGUGCAUAAAUGCUUAACACCGUCUAUGCACUGCGUCAUGAUUGAUACCUUAUGCAAAUCAUAACUCUCCAUGCCUGCAAAAUAAAACAAAACAGUGAGAAGAAGAAGAAGAAGUAAAGCUUAAGCGAAAACUCUACAGAAACAAAACACUGCGAUGGUCUGUAAUUUAAAAGCAGAUGAGAUGUAAAUAUGUAAUCACUUAAUAAUCUUUUCGCUGACAGAGUAGGCAUAAGAUUGAAUGUAACACACCCAACUUGGAAAAGUUAAAGAUAGGAUUAGACAAAGAUUCAUAAUAACAAAAUAAAGGCAACAAAACAUUGCUUACACACUAGAAACUGAAGUCUUGUCAUUAUUACCAGAUGUUACUUAUGGCCACAUAAUCAGAAACGAAAGGCUUGAAUGACAUCAUUGCCAAAUUAUUUAAAAGAUAAAAGAGAAUAACGAUGCAAAAGCCUAAAAAUGUUUAAUUCCCAUUACAAACCAAAUUUAUAUAUCUACUUUUCUUAAACAUUACAAUAACGGAACAUUGCUCUCUAAAUCACUCCGAUUCAACAUUACAGUAAAACGGAUUCGUGAUGGAAUCACACGUUAUGCAACUCUUAUACUAUCAACUCUUAUACUAUUCAGUAGUUGUGAACUGAAUUGGUUUUACAGAUUAAACCGAAAUCAACCGAAUAAAAAGUUACCGAUGCUUCGAUUGUAUUCCUCAAUCUCAAGGCGGCUCUUGGCGGUUGGAAGGUGGUGGAGAUUGGUAGUAAGGUGAGAGCCGAUUCUGGUGUAAGCAGAAUGGUUUAGAAGAACAAAUAUAUUUUACAAAACCUGAGAAAAUCUUUUAAACUAUUUCUAUAAAUAAAAUAAAUAAAUAAUCUUUUUAGCAUUAACUAACUUUGGUCUACAACUUUUAAAUCAAUUAAUUAUAUUGUUGAUACAGCUGUUAAGCCGCGAAUGAGUGAAGCUCCAACAACUACUUGUCACACGUCGCAUUUUGUGGAGCCUGUGUUAAAUAAUGCGCUGUAUUUAAUUAUACGACCACGUUUUACUCGGGCCUUAAUUUGCACUUUAACGUUUGGUUUUGUUUUUUUUAUUUCCGGUUAAUUUACGUUAUAGACGGUCUGAAUGGAACCUGUACCACCAGUCUCAUCAGUUGUCUUUUAACGUUUUCAUUUCACAAUACAUCAAAAUCGCAGCAAUAAUCAACAUUUAAUGAAUACUAGACUUUGGGGAUGUUUAUUUUUCUUUUUGUUUCGAAAGAAUUAUUUACUUUUAUAAUUAGUAAAUAUUUAUUUUAAUAUUUACCAUAUAACUAAUUAUAUAUUAUUAUAUUUUUAAAAAUUGUAUCGUGAGAAGGUUUGUUGGUCGAUAUUGACCAAAUGCUUGUGAUAUAGAAAAUGUUUGUUGGUUGAUAUUGAUCAAAUGGUUCAAUAUAUAAUAAUAAUUGGAGUUAUCCAUGGAAAAGGUAUUCAAAUGAUAAAAUUGUUUUUAUUCUUAGUUUUUAUGCUCAUUUUGUAAUUCGGAGAGUAAUGAACUAAUAAUAUGUUCUUUGUUGAAUUUUUAUUGACUGAAUAUAUGAUAAUUAUAUGGUUUAUGUUUGCCAAGGUUAUAAUUUUAUAGUGGAUCAGUGUAGGAUAAGAAGAUGCCAUUGUAUUUUUGGUAUGAUUCCAAAUUUAUAAGAGUUUGGAUUGCUGGAAGAGGUGAUGAAUGGUUAAGAUUUUUAAUUAAUUUUGGUUUUAGUAAUGUUAUUGAAUUUACGUUUGUUUGGUUAACUACUAUGUACGGUUUGGUUAGUUAUUUAAAUUAGAUCUAGAUGGUUUGAUUUAAGUGUUAAAUAUGGUUUAAACUAGUGGUAUAGACUUGUAAUAUUUAAGGAAAACUGAGGAUUAAUUUCAAUUUGUAUUCCAAUUUUAAUAGAUUAGACUAGAUUUUGACUCGUACCCCCGUGCGGAUAUUUAUUUUUACAGUUAUAUAUAUAUAUCAAUAUUUUAUAUAGUUUAUUGUAUUUGUUUUACAUUUAUUGGUAUUAAAUAUUUGUUUAUAUAACAUUUAUACAACAAAUUUUUUAUUUCUAUGAGUAAUUUAAUUUAAUUUAUUUAUUGAACUGUCAAUUAGAUUAGUGUUUAUAAUUUAUCUUAGUAGAUUCACAUUGGCAUAUAGUUAUAUAACAUAUGCAUGAAAUAACAUAUUUAAAUAACCAUUUUUAUCAAUAAAUUUUUUUAAAUUGAUUAUUUACAUGGAUUUGUAAAGUUUUAUUUAUUAGUAAUAAAUAUUAAGGAAUAUACUAUGAUACUAUAAAGAAUAUUGUGUUGAACAAUUAUCUCAUCUGCUUAAGGUGAAACAUAUAGCUAAUGAAAGAUUAUAAGUGAACUUAAGAAACUUUCAUUUACAUUAAUAUUUAGGGACUAUUCGUUAUUAGCUAAAAAUCAAUAGAAAUAUGAACUACAUAUAAAACAUGUUAUAAGUUAUGUUAUAUCAGAAAACUUAAGUUUAUUGGUUUAUUAUUUCAGUUAUAUAUAAAUCUAUGUGGGAUUUAUAUUAGUCUAUUUGACACAUCGUACAUUGAUCAUAGUUUUAAAUUGGGCCAAUGGGUAUGUCUCGUAGAUGUAAUUAAUAGGGCCAAUAUGAUAAGAAAUAUUAGAUUAUGUCCAAUUGGUUAUGUAAACACUAUGAGAUCAUAUAUAGUUUUUGGAAAGUUUACGUAUAAGAUUUAUAAAAGGUAUCUAAGUUAUUUUCUUUUUUACUAUCGGUUCUAUUAUUAAUUAAUGUAUACCAUAGUGUGUUUGGAAAGAAUACAUAUAUAACUGCAUUAAAAUUUGAUAUAUUUUGGUAUUUUUGGUAGAGCUAAAUUUUAGGAAACAGGGUGUUAUACAUUAACCAUGUCAUAAAUAAUAUGAAUAUUUUUAGGAAGUAAAGAAUAUUGUGACAAUUACAAUCAUAAAAUUGUGAUUUCUAGUUUUAAUUAUUAGAUUUUCUUGUGGAAACUAAAAUAUUUGGAGCCUUUUACAGUUGUGGUAGAGCUAAAUUUUAGAAAAUGAAGAGGUAUACAUUAAUCAUAUCAUAACUAUUAAGAAUACUUUAGGAAGUGAAGAAUAUUCUGAAAAUUUAAUCGUUAAAUUUUGUUUUUAUAAUAUCUCCUAUAUAUUUUGUGGAAUUUAUGAAGUUUCUGAGUAUUUUUUUUCAAAAUGUACGUUUGUUUUAAGAACCAUUGGUUAUACUAAGCAAAAUGAUAAAUUAACAUCUAUUUACUUCCAGGCGUAAAACAUAUGAUAUCUAAUAUCUAUGGUUUAAACACGAAAUAAGUAUACCCAUAAACCAAUGUUCUUGACAUGUUAACAGGUGUAUCUAAAAAACUGAAACAGAAAUCAACCACCAAUUCAAUGAAACAUUAACACAAUUUACGAAACCACCAAUUCAAUGAAAGGGUAUGAAUGGUGUUAGAUUUUUCACCCCAUUUUUUUUGGAAUGAGGACAAUAACCAACAACUCUAUUAUUUUAUUGUAUAUUAUAGAUGCAAUAAACUUAAAGUCAGGGUUAUUUAUACAGUGUGAUCAUGUCGAGAAUUGUAAUAUAUAGUCUAUAUAUAAUAUAGACAGAAGACAAAAACAAUUUGCUUGAUAAAUAUGGUAAUGCUAUAUUAGAAAGUUUAAUGAGAUACCUACAUAUAAGACAUGUUAUAUUUAACGGAAAAUGUAUAACUGGUUUGAUUAUUAUUAGGCUUUAGGUUCAUUUUAAUGUCAAUGACAGUCAUUUGUAAAUAUAUAAGAAAAGUCAGGGUUAAGUUCUAAUUGUACUUAUGUUUUAAUAGAUUAGACUAUACCUUGAUCCGCGCGACCGGGCGAGUAUUUAAUUUUUGUUUGUAUUUAAUAAUGGUUUAGCUGGUUGGAUCUGGGUCGGAGUUUCGGAUUUGUGGGAUAUUUGGCGGGAUAUUUAGGAGUCAUAUCCAUUGCUCCAACUUCAAGCAUCUAUGGUUUUUUUAUUUUCAAGCAUCUAUGUUUAGCUCUUGAGAGUACGAUAGCUUAGGGAGAUCUCGUGUAGAUCUGAUCAAAUAUGAUUAGUUUCUGGUAUGGAUGUGGAUAAUUUGCAUAUAUCUUCCAUGUAUAAUAGUAAAUGACUUAUCUUUACUGUUAGAAUUGUUACCGGUAUCAUCGUCUUGUUGCAGCCAUGUUUCUGAUGAUCAUAUCUUAAAAGUUCCAAAUUUGUAGGAUUCUCUCAUGCUUCAUGCUGAACCCGUUUGAGCAUCUUAACCUAUUUUUAAACGGCAGUACGCAAAAGUAUUCUUCAGUUUUGUCACACUGUGAAGACAUUUUAAUUUUACUAAUGAUUUCUUCUGGUGAUUUUAGUUACUAUGCCACUAAUUGAGAAUACACUGAAAAUUUUGUGACUAAUUUGAAUUAGAUUUUUUUCGAAAAAGACUAAGUUGAAUGUUUACCAGAUAUCUUUGAUGGUUCAUCCUGACAAAUGCAAGCAUCCGCAAGCACAGGAGGCUUUUGGAGGCUAGUAGUCUUGAGAAGUAUUGGUUUGUUUGGAUGAAUUUGUCAUGUUAAUAUGGGUUUUAAUAGAAUGAAACAAGAAUUACUAAACCACUGGUUUCUUGGGCUUCGUUGGUUUGAAUGAAGUGUCCCGAAACACUCUACUUCGGUCUGGCUGUUCGUUCUUGAUCGAAAUCCCACUCUGGAUCGUCUCCAAAGAUGAGGUUUAGAUGUUGAAACUACUUGUCUGCUCUGUGUGCCUCAACCUAUCUCAAGAGAGCUUUUUUUUUCAGGUUCUCCUUCUCUUCCACAUUCUGGAGCCGUGCUCUGUUGAAGUUAAACUUCUCUCAACUCCACAUGACUGGGAUUUAAUAUUGCUGUGGUUACCUACUGCUUCUCCCUCCCCUGUUUCCUCUAGAGCUCUGAUUCAACUUUGGCAUGGUACCAUUUAUGGUUUACGGACGGAAGGAAAUAAACGCUUCAAUCUUGGUCUCUCUAGGGACGAAGCAACAAUUCUGAGCAUCAUUGUACGGAUGAUCAAAAACAAAUCAACUGCCCUUAGAAAUCUAGAGUGUAGAUUUGGUGAUGAUACCGUCUCUCUUUGGUCAGGUAUCUAGCUUAAUACCUCACACUGUUUCGAGUGUCCAAUUUUUAGAAUUUCUGAAUCUUUGUGACCUCCUUCCUUCAUUCUUCUAAAGUAUCUCCCUCUCUAGCUUUCUUCUCUGUUUUUAAAUUUUCAUAUAUUUGUAUCUUUGUUUCCUUUUUAAUAUGAAAAUCAGUUUUAAAAAAGAAGUUACAACUACUGUUGAACGAUCAAGAUUGGGAUUAUACUCUCACACAAGUCCAUGCUUCGAAAUAUGAGAUUUUAAUAUUUUAUAAAUCAUCUCAUAUCCGGUAUUACCUGUUUGGAUGAGUCACUUGAGUGAUUUAAGACGCCCACUUGUGUAGAGUCUAUACUACACAUUGUGCUAGAUUAUUUAAAAGCUAUACCAGAAUCUGUAGUUUAUGUUUUAUUAUUCUUUUUCUGUCGUGACAACUUUUUUCUUCCAACUGUGAAAUGUAGAAUUUAGGACAAAAAAAGUGAAAUGCUGAAGAGCUUAAGAUGAAAAAAAAGAAACAACUAAAGAAAUACACCGUUUCAUAUUAUUUCAAAUGGCUUGCAUGAAAAUUAUUUAAACUGGCAUUUCUGUCGAUAGCAUCCCACUAUUUGACAAUGUCCCCAUGAACCCCAAUAGCAAAAUGCCCAUGAACCCCAAUAGCAAAAUGCGACGAGCAUUUUCAAUUAUACAUCACAUUGGCAAUAGAAUUUCAAAUCUGAAACCCGCGCGAAGCGCGGAAACACCACUAGUACAUGGAUAAACCCAAAAUAUAAUUACUGAAAAUAUAUUGGAAAAAAAAAUUGUGUCUAAGCGCCAAACAAAACCCUAAAACUAUUUAAUUAAUUUGGCGAUGUUAUAAUAAGUUGUAACUAAACAAAAAAAACAUCCAAAAAUGUUGUCUCCUAUUUGUAGUAUGGGGAUGACCUUGAAUUCAAAUCUAAAUUAAAGCACCUUAUUGUUGAAGUCAAACUCAUUAAGAUGCCUUGUGAACCGAACUUUAUGUCCAACAUGAAAAUCAGGUAUUCUAACUGAUCGUACACCAGUUGAACGUAUAUAUUAUUAUAUAUACCAUGAAUUUGGUAACUACAAAAUUAGUUUGGAAGCUUAUGUAGUUACCUCGUUUAGGUAAAUCACUGAGGGGGUAAAUAUGCUUUUAUUAGCAAAUAGAACUGAAAAUACAAGGCAUGAUGAGAAAUAACCAUAUGAAGUGUAAACACUAUUACUAUUACUUAUCAAAAAAAAAAAAGUGUAAACACUAUAUCAAGAUUUUUAUAAAUGUUGUGGCAUUGUGAUUUGUAUCUCCUCACAAUGUACUUUACGGUUACUGGUGAGCUCUUUCUGUACAAAACUUUUGACACUCACACAAGUAACCUACUUGCUUCAAACCAAAAAUAAAAAUAAAAACCUUUGAGAGAAGAAACCAAACAAACCAAAAACUAUAGAACUAAAAUCAGAGUCUCUUAUGAGCUCUUGUCUGCUUUAGGGUUUUGUAGUUUUUCAUCCGGAAAGAUCUUGUUUGCAGAGAGGACAACAGGAGAUGAUACGAAGCCACUGAUCUACACACUUAAGGUGAAACUUAUGUGAACAUGGAAGCUUCCUUACUUCUUCCUUGUCUUUAUACUUUGCCAAACAUAUACAACACUCCUGCAUAUCAAGAAUAAAGAAAAUCAAAACCUACUUUUUUCUAUCAUAUAUCUAUCUAAGAUUAGUAAUAUACAGCAUUUGAUGUCAGAAUACUUAGUGGAUCAGACAGAGUAAUUACAAAUGAAACCAGUUCCGGUAUAGCAUUAUUGAAUAUCUGAUUGAUUAACCAUAUAUUCAAAUUUUGCUAAACCAGGAAUGGUUUACUCUGUGAUGACUCUGUCUUAAGAAAAACCCUUAUGGGUCUGCUUUGAUAUGUGAGUCAAUUGAUUAUAACUUACAGGAUCAUCAGUUUUAGGAGGUGAACCAGAAGCGUUGUCAUCGGCUCGUUUGUGUUUCCAGCUAGGGAGACUAGAGAUUUGGUCAUCAGAUGCACCUCUGUCUGAAGAUCCCAUGUUCAUGUUGUAUCCAAGGAGACUACUAAAGAGAGGCACAAGGCAACAAAGGAAUAGGAAGAGAAGAAAGGGAAAAGAGUAGCAGAGAGCGUUCCAAGAAAGAAGAGAGACGCAGAGAACGUGAAGAUUGGGAGCAUGGUUGAAAGAACCGAAUCUAGAAUCAAACACCCAAACAUUCCCAACCACAAACCAAAUCGCAAAGAACAGCUCUAGAGACGUUCUGCACUUGUUCAUCAAAUGGGAGCUCCUGAAAGUUGCAAGAUUCAAAAUGUUAAUACAACUUCAGGAUCUUGCAAAGGUUAUAAGGUUCAAAAUCAAGAAAAUAUAAUUUACCUAGUUUCAUCUCUGCCUCUAUGUUGCUGCUCAAUAUCGACAAACCAGUUUCCUUGGUUUAGUUGGCGAAACCGACCAUAUAAUAGCAUGAGACUUAGGAGACAUCCCACGUCAUAACCUGUGAUCCAUAACCUCACUGGCCAAACAGGUCUCUCUUCUUUUGAGAUAGCUAGUGUGAGUGUUAUCACUGUAAGCUGAACAAGCAGAGCUAUAAGCUCAGACAUCAUCCACGUGCUGGAGUUAAAAGGAUUGGAGCCGAGAUCUGAUCUUGAUCCGUUUUGAUAGUGAAACACUCUUCUCAAGAAGAUAAACCAUCUAGCUCUAGAUACCCUCAUAGCAAACCUUAAGUAGAAGGAUCUCUCUUGAACAGAGGCAGGCGCAUGAGUGUUGUCACCUCGUGGUGGUGUGGUACUCAAGGAAGAAGAUGAUGAAAUUGUUAUGGAGAUAAUAUUGGAAGAUGAUUUAUCCAUUGGAAGUUUUCCAAAGCCUUCAGUAUAUAUUUAAACCUUCAAAGAAAAAAAAAGAUUGAACAUUAAAAGAAAAAAUUCAAAACUUCUGAAAGUUUAUAAGUUGUGAACACACACAUGAAACUUGGAAGUAUAUAAACGAAAAGAUCAUGGGAAAAAAACACACAAGAAAAAACACAGAAACUAAAGAAAAGGAAUCAUGAAAUUCACAUGACCUAACAAUAAUAAAAACACAUGAAAAAUCUAUAUACCUUAUUUGCAACCACCAAAAAGGCAAAACUCGGCUCCGUACACGAACUCCACGACUUCCCGAAAAGGAGGAAUCUAUUUCACAAAAGGAAAGUACCUCUAGUAGCCUAAGCUUUGAGUACAGAGAUAAGCUUUUGUCUGAAAUGAAAUAGGUUUUAUAGGGAGAAAUUGUUUCUAAUAUAGGAGAAAAGAUUGAGAAGACAGGAACAAGAGAAAAAGAUGAUUACUAAGAAAGAUUAGGAAGGUGUUGUGUUUAUGUCAGGGAAGGUGAAGUUGGGCGAGAGAUGGCGACCAAGAAUCACACCAUAACAAAAGGAUUGUUUAUAUAUUAAUUAUAAGAGACAAACUCUUUGAAGUUUGUGGUUUGUUUUGUUUGCUUACGUUUGAAGAGAAACAAAGAAAGGGAGAUGAAGAGAGGAAGAGAACCGCUGGCCUAAUCUAACACCUGAGGUUUUGUUUAUGAAGCAAUGUUUAGAUAAUUAGAUAGCAACUGCUUAUUCCAACCGCCAAGGCAGACCCUUCUCUCUCUACUCUGUUUCUCUCUCUCUAAGAUCGAGAGGAAAGGGAAAGAUAUUUUAUUUGAUUUCUUUUUGUUUUGUUUUUAUUUGUAGAAUUUUCGUUUUGGAAAAGAAAUGGAUAAGAAUUAAGAAUAUCUAGAUGAAGUCAUCAAUUCAAAAUUCACCGUAUGACAAAUCUUUUUGUUAUAACAGAAAAAUCUUUCUCACUUUUUAUUAUGUUGAUCAUUUCCCAACUAUAGUGAUAUUGAAUUUUAAUAAAAAAUAUAUAGUAUAUAAAAUUACAAAAAAAUUUUCCUCUACGUCCAUAACUUAACCUUGUAGCAGUAUGGUUCUUAUUCGAUUCAGUGAUUUUACAUAUGUAAUUAUAUUAAAUCAGAUAUACAUAUAUAUAUAUAUAUAUAUAUACUUUUAUUUAGAAAUUAAAUAAAUAAAUGAUGCUUAAGAUUACUAAUUUUGACAACAAGAUUGUAUAAUUUGGCGGGAGGAAAUGGGGAAGGAGUUGGGGAUGGUUGGCUAACUAAUCUCAACCAGAAGAGUUUCUAUCAAUUAUCAUUUACGUUGUGGAGUGGAGCCCAAUUCCUCACUUUCUUUCAGUUUCCACGUUGUCUUUUGUCCCAUUAUUAUUUUUAUUUUUUCAAAAAGGCUUUUGCCCCAUUAUUGAUUUUUAUUUGUCUUUUUUUUUUUUUUGACUAUUGAGUUUUACUAGGGACAUUGCCUCUUGCGCGGAGUUGUGGACAGAGUUCGUGUUUCAUCUCGAUAUUUGUUAGGGUUAUUGUAGCUGUGAAUUUUGCGUUUUGGGUUGAUCAUUGUUUUUCAAGUUUUUUAUUGUUAUAGGGUUAGAGUUGUGAUGAUGAACUAUGCAUGCACUGUUCUCCACUCAUGAAGGACUAAACUGUGUUAGUAAUGUGAUUGAUAUAGUUCGUAGUGUUACUUGUUGUGUCACUGAGACUUAUUGUUUGUUUGUCUUUUUAAUUUGUUACUUGUACUGUUGAUUACAUAAAUUAUAUUAAGAGUGUUGAGAGUACUUUUUGUUUCUGGAUAUUUUUUCUCCAGUUUAGUUGUGUAAGUUGUGUGUAUUAAGUAAUAAUUUUUUUAUUUUUAUUAUGUUGGUUAUAUGUUUUAUUUUAUUUUUAAACUUGUUACUUUUACCGGACCUUUAAAACAAAUACAUAAAAACUUUUAAAAAUAAUUAUAAAAUGAGUGACAAUUAGUAUUUGGGCCUUAAAACGAAUAUAUGUAUUUAUCAUAAGAAGACAAUAGCAUUGGUCUGUUGACAUUGAGCAUGUAAGCUAUUUUCAUAAGACAAGAGGAGUGAGCAGGUGGAGAUGUUGUUGCCGCUUUUGUAUAUGUUGGGAUUGUCUAUUGUAUCGGUUGGUGUGGAUGUGUUUUGUUUCUCUUUAAUUUGAUGGGUAAUAUGUAAACAAAAAUUAUUGUUAGUUGUAUUUAUCAGAGUUUGUAACCUACUCUGUUUUUUUGUUUAGUAAUUUCACUGAUCUUGGUUGUCGUCUUCGUCUUCUUCCUAAGCAUCUGUGAAAGUAAGUUUGUAAAUUGUUAAAUAGCUCGCCCUAUAGUUUGUAUUUGUUUAGCUGGCUCAAUAUAUGUGUCGUUGAGUUUUAGUUGAGUUGAUUGGUUUGGUAUAUUUGUUUUGAAGUUUAUUUGUUAGAUUAGACAAAAAAGAGGGGUAUCAUUAAUGAUUCGUCUUUUUUGGGAUUCUAAAAUUGUUGCAAACUUGAGCUUUUUUUCAUAUAACGUGAUGAAACUCAUUUAAAAAUGAAACCCAUAACACACUUGUAGGCCCGACUCUUAGACGAAGCCGAAGAAGUAAGGGCUUUCGACCUUCAUAAAUAUAUAUUAGGUUCGACCAUCAAUGUACAAAGUAUCAUUUAGCUUAGUGGUAUAAAUGUUAGUGUUUAUAUCUCAAUAACUCUGGUUCGAGCCAUGAACUUGACAUUUUUCACACUUUUUAAAAGUUGAGCCCACAAAACGCUGACGUGGCGCGCUGAGGAGUGAGCAAAAACUCAACUAUUAUAAUAUAGAUUUUUCAGAUGAUAGUUGUGAAAAAGCAUAUGAUUAAAAAUGAAUAAAAGCGAAUAAAUUUUGAAUGAAAUAACAAAUUAAUAUUCUAGAACUUUCGCAAAGUUUUAAAGUCAAUUAUGUGAACUAAGGGCGGUUCCCGCGCAAGCGCGGGGUCGGGGACAUAGGUUUUUUUGAGUGAAUAGUUGUGGUAUUCCGGAUGUAAUACGAAGCUUGAUUUAUAAAACUUGACAUGUACCGGUUAUGACUCUCGUUGUGCUUGCUCGUGUGAAUUUAUGACCGCAAACCUUAAAUGUAUGAUUAUUGAGAAUGAGUUGGAGUGAUUGAGUGCGCGUGACCAUUUCACCAUAGCGCAUGUGGAGUUCAAGCGUUGUGGGAUUAAUAAUACUUGAACUUUUGUGUGAGUACUAAAAAUGUUAUGUUGGUUUGGUUCAAUUUUUCCUUCAGUUGAAUUGUUUUUGUGAGAAAUGGCAUUGGCGGAGCUUCUGCUGAUACCAUAGUAAAUAAGUAUUUAGCAUUAGAUAGAUCAAUAUACACAAAUUAGAUGCAUUUAUGUGCUAAUACUACUCAUUUACUUAGACCACAUAUAAGGAUCAAGAAAUUUUAUACAGCUUCCGAAUCUUUCCGUUUAUAUAUUGAUUCCAUGAAGGGAAUCCUAAAUCGUAGUAUGUAUUUAGUUGUGACUCCAACUAAAGUGUGCGUUUGGAACCAUUAUUUUUACUAAACCAUUUGCAUAGUUUUGUUUUAAUCUAGUCACAUUUGUAACUGCCCCACCAGUGUUUUUUUAAAGUUACAUAUGGAUUUGUAUGCAUGAGAUAAACGAAGGGCACAUAAAUGGACAGCAAAUAAGAGAUAAUACUCGCCAAUGUUCCCCAUACUUUAAUUAAAAAGUACAUGUUAAACCAGUGAGUGAUAGUUUGCAGAUAAUUGAAAAGAAAACGAAAACUCAGAAAUCCGAAAUACAUAGCAAUUUAGUAAAUUGAAAACGCAGGAAAGCUAAGUGGGUUGACGGUUUUGUGUACUUGUACCAAUCACUCACGGGGUCAGCUUCCGAUUCUUCUUUUUCUCAGAAGGUAGAUUCGCGUCAUCAACUUCCUUUGCCUUGCCGGAAAGACCACCAAUGUCGGUAGCAGAUGACGGUGCUUGUCCUGUGUGGACAUCUCCCCCUGGAGCCCUUUCAGCCUCGGGUCUCUUUUAGGCAAAUAAACGUUUCAGUUUUGUGUCUAACGUUAUUAAAUUAAAUAUAUAAGUAAGAGGAAACAACCUCGGUCAGAGGGUCAAGCAAGACACAGUGAAGGUACGGUGGUUGGAGGUGAAGUUGAAGGGAGUGACACUUAUGUGCAAAACAUAUUAAUUCCCAGCUAGUUCUUCAAGGCAUCAAGGUAGCUCUGGACCUCCAACACUGUUAAUCUGUUUUUGGCUAAAGAUCGGUGCGUUGGAUAGAGUUGUAAUUAAAAUUUGAAAACCGUAUAUGAAUGGCUUUUUAUCGUAGAGCCCAAACCUCCUCAAGAGCUAGUGUUGCUGCUUCCAUUUUGGUGAGUUUAGACAUCUCGAUAUCAAAGAACACAAACGUUUGCAUUGUCUUUGCCAUCUUCAACGGCGAGCUCUACACGAAACCUGCAUAAAGUAGCAUUAAGGUGUUAUGAUCAUUUACAAUCUUGAGUUUACUUUUCGACAUGGGCGAGUCUUUCUAGUUCUUACUUUUGGACAUGGACAUGGGUGAAACACAUGAGGUGCCAUAUUUGUCCAGCUUCUUGCUGCAACCGGUGCAAGAGACAUAAGCCCAACCAUUCUGUUGGAGGACGCCGACAAUCCUAGCUUUGUAGAGGAAAUCAGCUUCCUGGCUCUUUACAACAAAAAUAGACGUAGCAUUAGAAGAAUAAAUUUAGUAACACAUUGAGAAUGUGAUUUUACAAAAAUGAAAUUAAAUAGCUAUACUAACCUGGGCGUCGGAGUUGGACAGGUAGGUAUGAAGAUCACCAAUUGUCACAAGUUCUUUCUUUCUAAUACCUCCCAUGGUUUCUACCCGUUUAAAAACCUCUCCUGCUGCACCUCCCAAGCUAGUUGGUGAACAAUUGUGUAACAAAAAGCAUUAUAGAAGAUAAAUACAUAAUAAGGGGUAAAUGUUAAAGGAAGCAUUUUAAAUUUUUUUUUCCAAAGCUCUCUAGACGGACCUCUCUGUGAAUGCUUUAAUGGCGGGGAUGGUGGUGUCAAAGUAGAACUUGGUGGCCGGAGUGGAGUUCAGAUAUAGUUACCUUGAAAAGAGCAAGUAUGUUUUAGUUUAGGUUACAAAUGAGUGAUACGUAUUGAAAUGACUAUACCUUUGAGCAGCAGAUUUAGCAUAAAUAUAUAUUCUAGACAAAGUUACAUCAGCUGCGUUCAAAUGUCACAAACAGACAUAAGGGUUUUUGGUAAUUAUAAUUUUACACUCUAGAUCAAGAAACUCCUAAGUAAAUCAUUAAUCUAAGAGACUAGAUGUACAUACAUGUUCAUCUUUUCAUCUAGGAAGAGUAUGGUGCUACCCAUGAACUCGCCAUUCUUAUUGAUAUUGCGGGAAUCCCAAAAGCAUAAGAGACGGCCGACAACGACUUGAGUAGACCAACAAAGGCGGAGAUCGUAGAAAGUAGCGUGGGGACCGGCUGAUUGAGCACCAAAAACAGCAAAGGAAGACAUUUUCACGUCUGUAGUAUAAGCCAUUGUGGAUGACGAAAGCAGGGAUGGGAGUUGCGAUGUUUAAUCCCGGUCUCGAGGAUCGACUUUAUAUAGAGAGGAUCGGCUUUAUAUAGAGAGGGCUAUGGCUGACGUUUUGAAACAGGGGAGUUAUUAAGGGUAUCAUAAGGAAGAUGGAUACCGAUUAACGUAUCUUAAAGGAAGGGGGGGGGGAGGGCGGAGACGCAACCAUCUCGUCGAAAGGAAAAAUGGUUUUGGAAACCCUAUAUCAGAGCGGACAAUGCCUUGAGCGUCUUUUUAAUGAGCUAAAGAUUACCAUCGUAAAUCAAACUUAUGGCCCAGAAACAACCUCAUAUGAUUUCUUAAGUUAAUAAGUACAUAGUGCCCACAUAUAAUAAGAAGCAUCUGAAGUUGGGCCGGAAUGGAGUAAGUUUGGGCCGGAACUUGAAAUUGAUUUGUGACCCAGCCCGUAGUGACAUGGCAUAUUGAUUGGUGGGAAAUAUUUCUGCCCAUGUGGCACCCUUCGGAAACUCCAAAAAUAGUUCAUUUUAUAUAGUAGUAUAUGUUGAAACCUAGAGUAUUCAAAACAGAAUUUAGAUCUGCAUCUGUGAAAAUUAUAAAAGCGCUUUAGAACUAGUAUUCUGGUUUUUUAGCCAAAAAAAAAAAAAAACCUAGUAUUCUGGUUCCGUUGGUCAAUCAUUCAAAUAUGUUGAAUUUCUUACAUUGUAUUUUGACACCAAUUCACAUAUACAAGUUGAAGUUUCCGAGAUUGGAAAUAGUGUAAAAGCUAAAUGACUAUGCAUGGUAUAUCUCUAAAAAUAGUAAGUACUAACAGUUGACACUGACAGCACAAGAUCCAAAAUGAUUUUUUUUUUUAAUCUAAACGACAAGCAGUUUUAAUUGUUAUCUAUAGUAACCUUCAAGGAACUACGAUUCUAGAUCCGUCUUAUCGACUCAUUGCACUUUGUAAAUUUAAAACUAAAUACUUCUAAACUCUUUGAUUUACACGUCGAAUGAGGAUAAUUUAAUUUAAUCAUCAUUCCAUAAGGUUUAAUCGAAUUUGAAAGCUUGGAACAUAAAUCAUGUUUCUCUCCGUGCAUCGUCGACCAUAUAUAUAUAUAUAUAUAUAUAUAUAUGUCGGUCUCGUCGACAAUUCGUCGACCAAUGGAGACUUGUAACAUCAUGAUUACUUUAGCAUGCGAAUAUUUCAUGCACAUUGACCAAUUAUUAUAUUAUUUUUGUAAGAAAAAAAUAAACUCCAAGGCAACAUCAAAGCAUAACACGUGGCUUCACACGAACACACAGACACGUGGAUAAAAUAUCGUUGGCUAAGUUGAAAGCUCAUUUAUCCAGUUAUGAUUUAAGGUUAGUGCAUAUAACACCACAAUAUAGGGUUUGAGUGAGUUUUGAGUUAAGGUUAGUGCAUAUAACACCACAAACUUAAGAUCUUAUCACACCAAAAUCACUAGUGCCUCGUAAAAACAGGGAUCUGAAGAAUAAAACCGAUCCAAAAAGUUAUACCAAACUUUAAAUGAAACUGAUAAAAUAUAUGAAUGGAUUAAAAAUUUUAAUAUAUGAAAAAACUGGAAACAGAACCAAACUGAAAUAUUCCAGACACAUAAAAAUAAACGAUCAACAAUUAUAUGAUUAAAUAUAUUAAUUAUUUUUAAUAUAAUAUCUUGAAAUAUUCGGAAUUAUCAAACACUUGGAAAAAUAUCUAAAAUUUGAAGAAGAAAAACUGACAUUGAAGUAAACUACAGCUAAAUAUGUAUGACCCAGAAUUAUUGGGCCCAAAUUAAUUAUAUGGGUCAAACUGGGCCCAAGUUGUUUAAAAUUGACACAUUAGCGUAAUGGAUCUCUCACAGAGAAGGAUCUAGAAUUUCUGUAUUAUGUGGGUAUAUAUACACACAACUACUUCCCUCAUGACUUAUAUCUUCGACUACUUUGGCUGCUCUCUCUCUCGCCUUGAUAAACCCUAGAUCUCCCCCGAUAAGCAGCAACAAUGGCCGACGCCGAGACUUUCGCUUUCCAGGCCGAGAUCAACCAGUUGCUUUCCCUCAUCAUCAACACCUUCUACAGCAACAAGGAGAUCUUCCUUCGUGAGCUCAUCAGCAACUCCUCCGAUGUAAGUCUCUCUAUUGCUUUCUCCUGGAUCGAUCUGUAGAUUAGGUUUGAUUAGUGUUGUUGUUGUAUCCGAUUUGAAAAUUGAAGUAGGGAGCUCUAUGAUAUUCAAACCGGUCUUCUUAGAUUUAGUUUUGCUACCAUGGUUAAGCAUUAGGUGUUAAGCUUGGAUGAAUUUUGUUUUCGUCUUUUAUGAGAUAAACGGAUCUUCAAUCUAUAUGCAUUCGGUUUGUUUGUAUACGUUCUCUGUUUUUAUUACUUAAUAGUUCGGAUCUUACUCUGGUGACUUAGUUUUUGAUUGAUUUUACGAGAUAGGUUGAGUUUCGUUCGUUGCGUUUGUAUACGUUCUUGCGUUUGUUACUUAAUGGUUUUGAACUUGUGAAACAGGCCUUGGACAAGAUUAGGUUCGAGUCCUUGACUGACAAGAGCAAGCUCGAUGGCCAGCCUGAGCUAUUCAUUCACAUCAUCCCUGACAAGACGAACAACACCUUGACCAUCGUCGAUAGUGGUAUUGGUAUGACCAAGGCUGAUUUGGUCAACAACCUUGGAACCAUUGCGAGGUCUGGCACCAAAGAGUUUAUGGAGGCUUUGGCUGCUGGAGCUGAUGUUAGCAUGAUUGGGCAGUUUGGUGUUGGUUUCUACUCUGCUUACUUGGUUGCUGACAAGGUUAUUGUCACCACCAAGCACAACGAUGACGAGCAGUACGUGUGGGAGUCUCAGGCUGGUGGGUCUUUCACUGUGACCAGAGAUACCUCUGGAGAGAGUCUUGGCCGGGGGGCUCAGAUGGUCCUUCACCUCAAGGAGGACCAGUUGGAGUACCUUGAGGAGAGGAGGCUUAAGGAUUUGGUCAAGAAGCACUCCGAGUUCAUUAGCUACCCAAUUUCCCUGUGGAUUGAGAAGACCAUUGAGAAGGAGAUUAGUGAUGACGAGGACGAGGAAGAGAAGAAGGACGAGGAAGGAAAGGUUGAGGAGGUCGAUGAGGAGAAAGAAAAGGAGGAGAAGAAAAAGAAGAAGAUUAAGGAGGUUUCUCACGAGUGGGACUUGGUGAACAAGCAGAAGCCUAUCUGGAUGAGGAAGCCUGAGGAGAUCAACAAGGAGGAAUACGCUGCCUUCUACAAGAGUCUCAGCAAUGACUGGGAAGAGCACUUGGCCGUGAAGCACUUCUCGGUUGAAGGACAGCUCGAGUUCAAGGCUGUUCUCUUCGUUCCCAAGAGAGCUCCUUUUGAUCUCUUUGACACUAAGAAGAAGCCCAACAACAUCAAGCUCUACGUCCGUCGUGUCUUCAUCAUGGACAACUGUGAGGACAUCAUCCCAGAGUACCUUGGCUUUGUCAAAGGUAUUGUGGACUCUGAAGAUCUUCCUCUCAACAUCUCAAGAGAGACGUUGCAGCAAAACAAGAUCCUUAAGGUCAUCCGCAAGAAC